CUGGCUUAAAGAAGACGUUGCCGAAAGCAGAGGCACCGGUUUUCAGAACAAAUUAAACAAUUCCCCCUGCCUCGAGAAACAAAACAGCGUAAUGUGUUGUAGGAGAUUGUAGGGACCUCCUCUCCCUCUCAUCACCCGGUGUGCCAGAGGAAGCCACAGGGCCAGCAAUGUGUUCUGCCAACUCGUAUUCUCAUUCUCCUCGAGACAUGAAGUCUAUAAUUAUAAUGUGGAAUACAAGGGUGGAUCUAUAUUUAAGAAAGAAAGAAAGAGGAAAUAAAAAAAAAUAAAUAAAUAAAGAGAG
rnacentral:sRNA from 1 species